rnacentral:tRNA from 1 species
GGAAAAGUGUCGAUCCCGGGUGGGACGUCCAGACUUCAAAUCUGGGAAGGGCUGUAGAACAGUCCUUGGUGGGUUCGACUCCCAUACUUUUCC